CGCACAUUGCGCCCUUUGGUAUUCCGAAGGGCAUACCUGUUCGAGCGUCAUUUGAACCCCUCAAGCUCAGCUUGGUUUUGGGCGCCUUGUCUACUAUAGACUCGCCUUAAAAGCAUCGGCGCUAUCCUGCCUAUUUAGGACACAGUACAUUGUUGCCCCUUAUAGUAGCAGUUUAGUAGCGAAUUCAUUAUUUUCUUUAGUUUGACCUCGGAUCAGGUAGGGAUACCCGCUGAACUUAA
rnacentral:misc_RNA from 1 species